GACGAACGCUGGCGGCGUGCCUAAUACAUGCAAGUAGGACGCACAGUCUAUACCGUAGCUUGCUACACCAUAGACUGUGAGUUGCGAACGGGUGAGUAACGCGUAGGUAACCUGCCUAUUAGAGGGGGAUAACUAUUGGAAACGAUAGCUAAUACCGCAUAACAGUAUGUAACACAUGUUAGAUGCUUGAAAGAUGCAAUUGCAUCGCUAGUAGAUGGACCUGCGUUGUAUUAGCUAGUAGGUAGGGUAAUGGCCUACCUAGGCGACGAUACAUAGCCGACCUGAGAGGGUGAUCGGCCACACUGGGACUGAGACACGGCCCAGACUCCUACGGGAGGCAGCAGUAGGGAAUCUUCGGCAAUGGGGGGAACCCUGACCGAGCAACGCCGCGUGAGUGAAGAAGGUUUUCGGAUCGUAAAGCUCUGUUGUUAAGGAAGAACGAGUGUGAGAAUGGAAAGUUCAUACUGCGACGGUACUUAACCAGAAAGGGACGGCUAACUACGUGCCAGCAGCCGCGGUAAUACGUAGGUCCCGAGCGUUGUCCGGAUUUAUUGGGCGUAAAGCGAGCGCAGGCGGUUAGAAAAGUCUGAAGUGAAAGGCAGUGGCUCAACCAUUGUAGGCUUUGGAAACUGUUUAACUUGAGUGCAGAAGGGGAGAGUGGAAUUCCAUGUGUAGCGGUGAAAUGCGUAGAUAUAUGGAGGAACACCGGUGGCGAAAGCGGCUCUCUGGUCUGUAACUGACGCUGAGGCUCGAAAGCGUGGGGAGCGAACAGG
rnacentral:rRNA from 1 species